rnacentral:rRNA from 1 species
CAAGUCGAACGCGAAAGCCUCCUUCGGGGGGCAAGUAGAGUGGCGCACGGGUGAGUAACACGUAGGUAAUCUACCUUUGGAUUGGGAAUAACCACCGGAAACGGUGGCUAAUACCGAAUAAUGCAGCGGCACCUAAUGGUGACAGUUGUUAAAGCGGGGGAUCGCAAGACCUCGCGUCUGAAGAGGAGCCUGCGGCAGAUUAGCUAGUUGGUAAGGUAACGGCUUACCAAGGCGACGAUCUGUAGCCGGCCUGAGAGGGCGGUCGGCCACACUGACACUGACAUACGGGUCAGACUCCUACGGGAGGCAGCAGUCGGGAAUUUUGGGCAAUGGGCGAAAGCCUGACCCAGCAACGCCGCGUGAAGGAUGAAAUCCUUCGGGAUGUAAACUUCGCAAGAACGGGAAGAAUAAGUAAGAGUUAAUAUCUCUUACGAUGACGGUACUGUUUGUAAGCUCCGGCUAACUCCGUGCCAGCAGCCGCGGUAAUACGGGGGGAGCAAGCGUUGUUCGGAUUUACUGGGCGUAAAGGGCGCGUAGGCGGCCACCGCAAGUCGACUGUGAAAUCUCCGGGCUUAACCCGGAAAGGUCAGCCGACACUGCGGGGCUAGAGUGCAGAAGGGGCAACUGGAAUUCUCGGUGUAGCGGUGAAAUGCGUAGAUAUCGAGAGGAACACCUGCGGCGAAGGCGGGUUGCUGGGCUGACACUGACGCUGAGGCGCGAAAGCUAGGGGAGCGAACGGGAUUAGAUACCCCGGUAGUCCUAGCCUUAAACGAUGAAUGCUUGGUGUCUGGGGUUUAUAGUCCCCGGGUGCCGUCGCUAACGCUUU